GUGGGGAAUAUUGGACAAUGGGCGAAAGCCUGAUCCAGCCAUGCCGCGUGUGUGAAGAAGGUCUUCGGAUUGUAAAGCACUUUAAGUUGGGAGGAAGGGCAGUAAGUUAAUACCUUGCUGUUUUGACGUUACCGACAGAAUAAGCACCGGCUAACUUCGUGCCAGCAGCCGCGGUAAUACGAAGGGUGCAAGCGUUAAUCGGAAUUACUGGGCGUAAAGCGCGCGUAGGUGGUUUUGUAAGUUGGAGGUGAAAUCCCCGGGCUCAACCUGGGAACUGCCUCCAAAACUGCAUGACUAGAGUACGGUAGAGGGUAGUGGAAUUUCCUGUGUAGCGGUGAAAUGCAUAGAUAUAGGAAGGAACACCAGUGGCGAAGGCGACUACCUGGACUGAUACUGACACUGAGGUGCGAAAGCGUGGGGAGCAAACAGGAUUAGAUACCCGGGUAGUCC
rnacentral:rRNA from 1 species